GCUCCGUUGGUGAACCAGCGGAGGGAUCAUUACAGGACUCGCAAGACUCCUACAACCCUGUGAACUUAACUAUAAGCACGUUGCUUCGGCGGGUGUCUCGGAGGGGGUUCUCCCUCCCCGAGACGCUAAACCCGCCGGCAGCCUGCUAUACUCUGUCUCUUUGCGUUGGCAUCUCGAGUACAAUCAAACAAGUUAAAACUUUCAACAACGGAUCUCUUGGUUCUG
rnacentral:misc_RNA from 1 species